UUCCUGCAUUUUUUUGGACACCUGUGGCAUGAAAAUAUAACCAAGUGAUAAAGGAUAAGCAAUCUAUAUCACUAGUGAUGGAAGAAUCCUUUCCAUAUUACCUUUCACAUUUUUAAUAGUAAUUUAUAACCAAAAAUUCUGCAGUAAACCCAUGUCUGUUCAUUUCUGAGAGUUAGUUUUUUUUUCUUCUGAAUGAUCAAUUUAACACCAGAACACCAAGGAUAUCUAGUCCUAACAACCUUA
rnacentral:lncRNA from 1 species